rnacentral:rRNA from 1 species
UUGUGAAUCGUACAUCUCCUUACUAGACUUUCAUGGUUGUACUUAAUUGAAUGACCAUUUCAUCUUGAUUCGUUGGGGUGAGUGAUGAGUAGACCUAUUGGAUUCGAGAUUGUGGAUGAAUUUCUUCGGAGAUUGGUUCUGCUUGGAUUCAGUAACUAUUUAUUAGAAAUCUAGUUCAUUUACUUUGAGUAAAUUAGAGUGUUCAAGGCAAGCAAAUUUGUUUCUGCAAUGAAUACUAUUAGCAUGGGAUAAUGGAACAGGACAUGUAUUCUAGUUUUCCGUUGGUUUCUAGAAUUUUUAGUCACUCUUUUUGGAGUGGCGAAGUGUAAUGAUUAAAAGGGACAGUUGGGGGCAUUCGUAUUUCAUUGUCAGAGGUGAAAUUCUUGGAUUUAUGAAAGACGAACUUCUGCGAAAGCAUUUGUCAAAGAUGUUUUCAUUAAUCAAGAACGAAAGUUAGGGGAUCGAAGACGAUCAGAUACCGUCGUAGUCUUAACCAUAAACUAUGCCGACCAGGGAUUGGAAGAUGUAUUAUCCUAUUUAAACGUAGGAAAACUCCUUCAGCACCUUACGAGAAAUCAUAAGUCUUUGGGUUCUGGGGGGAGUAUGGUCGCAAGGCUGAAACUUAAAGGAAUUGACGGAAGGGCACCACCAGGAGUGGAGCCUGCGGCUUAAUUUGACCCAACACGGGAAAACUCACCAGGUCCAGACACAGUUAGGAUUGACAGAUUGAGAGCUCUUUCUUGAUUCUGUGGGUGGUGGUGCAUGGCCGUUCUUAGUUGGUGGAGUGAUUUGUCUGGUUAAUUCCGAUAACGAACGAGACCUCAGCCUACUAAUUAGUGAUGCAAAUGAUUACAUCCGUAAGGAGAGGGUUUCUAUUAAAGCUUUGGGUUUGACUUGAAGAUUUAAUAGAAAAACUUGUUUUCAUUUGUUAGAGUUUUGAUCUCUUCGGAGUGAAGAAUUCGAUAAUGACUUCUUAGAGGGACACUUGGUGUUUAACCAAGGGAAGUUUGAGGCAAUAACAGGUCUGUGAUGCCCUUUAGAUGUUCUGGGCUGCACGCGCGCUACACUGAUACGAUCAACGAGUACUGAAGACCUGAUCCGAAAGGAUUGGGUAAACUUUUGAAAUCGUAUCGUGCUGGGGAUCGAUAAUUGUAAUUAUUUAUCGUGAACGAGGAAUUCCUAGUAAGCGCAAGUCAACAGCUUGCGCUGAUUACGUCCCUGCCCUUUGUACACACCGCCCGUCGCUGCUACCGAUGUUUGGUCCGGUGAAAUUUUAGGAUUCGCGACU